AAACGAGGCAUGGUACUACGUAAGAAGCUUCCGGUUUAGUCACAUUCAUUGUUACGGCUCGCCGAGACUAACAGCGGACAACAUGGCAAGAGGCUAAGAGUUGGUCUUGGCAGUCCAUGGUGACAUAAAGACUUGUCUCCACAAUUCUGCAGUGGUUAAUUCAAGAAGUAUACCAAACAUUAGAAAAUGCAGUUGACAGAGAUAUGGCAACUAAAAUUUUAAGCUUAAUCGAGGAACAUAAAAACAUUAUUAAUGCAAGAUUUUGUGAUUGAAACACAUUUGAGGAAGGUUUUACAACUAAAGCUGAAUGGCGGAACAUCAGAGGACGGACCUGAUUCUGUUGCGAGAAUCUGCCAAUCUCAUAUCUGAUGUAGAACCAGAUGCAGUUCCUGAGCAAUCUCCAGAUCAGAACUCAUGUCAGGAAGCAAGUGUUCUUCUUCUACACAUCCAGUACAAGGUUUAGAAGCCAGGCUUAGUUCCUUGACUUUAGAUGAAGACAUUGAGCACUACAAAAAUCAAUUUCCAGAGGAUAUUAGAUCAGAUAUAUAUGAUGCUAUGAUCCUUCAUCAAGAUGAGGAUAAACAAGAGGCAUUACAGUUUUUAUCAUGCAUUAACAGUAACGUUUGUUUCCGCAAUGGAGAAAAGCCAAAGGUUGUUCUUUAUACAGAUGUUAGGUCAGAUAUCGGUAUUGCAGUUGGUCAGUUAGAUGAGAGCUUACCUUUGUGCACAUAUGUUUUCCUUUUUGUCACCAAAAAAUUCUGUUUAGAUGCUUGGAUGAAAUUUUCCAGCCAGACUUGUCUUAUGAAUGCUAUCCGAAAUGCAGAGAAAAAGUGGUCAGUGGUCCCAAUAUUUACUGAACCCAAAAACAAGCAACCUAUGAUAUACCACCAUCCAUUAUUUCUCUAAAAGGCAUCCAGUACUGGGGGGAGAAAAAAAACUAUGUCGAUUCACUGCAAACAAAAUUGGAAUGCAAGCUGCAUGUGCGAACAGAUAAAGAAGAUAAGCUGAAGCAUCAGCGAAUAUUAUGGAUCAUGAAGAAAAAAGCUGAGGAAAAAGAAGACGCAGACAGAAGAAAACAGGAGAUACAGCAAUUAAAGAAAGCUUUACAAGAAAGAUAGAAGAACGAAAAGCAGGAAAAAGAGAAUAGAGACAAGAAAGCAGAAGAAAAAGAAUAAAGACAAGAAAUGCAUACAGCUUCAAGAUCAAGAAGAGGUGUAGUAACUGUUUCAUUCCAAAAGCUGAAGCACAAAGUAAAGAGCACUUACAGUAUGAGUUAUUGCAGUGAAAUGCCUACAAGAUUAGAAAUUGUCCAGAAAAUUCAGCUGACAAGUUUGCAAAACAGAACACCUGUUUUUAUUAAUAUUCUUAUCCCAAUUGUAACUGCUACCUGUGGGAAUAUACUAAACCUUGUAUGCUUGCAAGUUACAACUCUGUUUUGGGACCGAAUUAUGGUAAGAUCCGAACGAUGAAUUUUUAAGAUAUUUUAUCUCUUUUCACAAUAUGCAGAGUUCACAAAAAUACAAGGAAUUUAAAGUGACAAAAUUGCUUUUAUGAAUAUUCAUACAGUAGUUAUGAUUUAUAAAGCAGCUAUAUUUAAAUUUAUACAUUUUAUUAGACUGAAUCUAAUGUUAAAUGAAGUAUCUUGCAUUUAUACUCUCAAGACAAACAUAUAGCUACUCUGUAUCUAUUUUUUCACUUUUCAACUUUUUCAUUUUUAUGAAUUAUAAAGUAUUGUCAUAAUAUACUGUUUAAGGCUCCACUGCAGAUGUGACCUGUUAAAAUAGACAUGGUGAAUCUUGUUAGAUGUCCUGUCUUAUACAAGAGGAAGCCUCCUAACCCCCUCAACACAGUUUUUUUUGUCAUUGUCAGAUAUGGCUUGAUAAAUUUCAACAUUACCACCAUCAGUUUGUGGGAAGGGAUGGGUUUGGCUGCCUUGCUUCCCAUUCAUGAUUGCUGUCCAAAUUUGUUCUUUAUAGUAGAGGUAUGUUUCAAUUUGUUCUGUUUGGGAUUUUUGUUUUUAUUUUAUCAUUUACAGCCACCCCUUAUAUCUUAGAAAGAGGAAAAAUAAAAUUGCUUGGGAGUAAUGCAGACCAACCACAUAGCCCACGAGGUUACUGUAAUGAAAAGAAUAUUCCUGCCAAAUUUGGUAUAGAUUUACACAGGUUUCAACCACUGCCUGCCAUACGUUCUGCCUUAUUUAUAACAUUAUCAUAAGAUAGCUAUUUAAACUGUCUCAGACAUUUCUUAUGCACACUGCUAGAGGCAAACUGGAACCUAAUUCGCCUAUCAGUCCAAUGGGUCAGUGGACAAUGCUGCCUCUAGCUCCUGUGCAAGCCUCCUCUUUGUAAACUACAGCUCCACCUUCAUUCUGCAAAAACUUUGUUUUGAAAAGCUAUUGGCUUUUGAUUUCUCGCAGUUAGCUUCUAGAUCCUUUUCCUAUUGCACUGACUCCAGAGAGAGUAAUUGCCUAUCCAAUAAUAGUCUGGUGGUCAGUACAGGCACACCACAAGAUUGGGUCCUUUAUCUCUUCCGGAUGGACCCAUUUGGAUAGUGAAGUUCGCUGUUAACACCAUGGUGGAAAGUCUUUUCAAACAAUGAUGAGUCUGUAUACCUAAGUGAGCUCUAGGUCACCUGGUGGCAUGGUUUAGCAAAAAUAACUUUCGCUGGUUAACCAUUUCAGGGUCUUGGGAAAUACCAUUUUGAAUGAUCUCAGCUGAGACAACGUUGUGAUAUCUAUUAUCAAGAAAUGCUGUUCUUGAUUUCUCUUUCCCACACACCAAAAGAAAACCAUAAGGCACGAUGUCAUAAAACAAUAUUCUUGAUAUAUACAAAUAAACAAUCUGAUCACAACAAA